rnacentral:tRNA from 1 species
GACCUUUUCGUCUAGUGGUUAGGACAUCGGCCUUUCACGCCGGUAACGGGGGUUCGAGCCCCCCAAAGGUCGCCA